GGAUAUCAUCAUAUACUGUAAGUUUGCGAUGAGACACUACAGUAUAGAUGAUGUACUA
rnacentral:pre_miRNA from 3 species